GUGUAAGACUUUCAAGUCAAAUCGGAUUCUAUAACUCCAGCCCUGUGUUUUGGUCUUUUAGAAGCACUGCUCGCUCAGUCAUCUAUCACAUUAGAACUCUAUUCCACCUUUGCAUCACUGGCAAAAUUGGUGUGCAUCCUGCUUUGCCUGUAUUAAAGUCAUCAAUACAAAAGCUAAGGAGCAGAUUCCUAGAGGACACGUUCCAAGUUGACCUGGGGCCAUCUGCCCAUUCCAUUGGAAUCGACCUGACUUAGUAUCCUUUCCAUCAGAGAGACUAUGGAGAGAUUUGAUUAUUUCUCUCUCUGAUUUCCCAGUUUGGUAACCAAUGAAAAGAAAAAGCAUUUGACUCAGUGGAACAAAGGACUGCCUUACAGGCUCCUUUACCAGAAGGUGCCUCAUAGCCAUCCAUCAAUCAAAAUCAUUCCAGAUUUCUUAGAAGAUGUAACAACAAAAACAUCCCUUUUUGAUGACUCUCAUGAUAAACAUCAGCACUCACUCAUCUCUCACUUGGACUACUGUAAAAACCUUUUGAUUGAUCUCUCUGCCUUCAAGAGCUUCAAUAGAUCAAUACGGUCCUGUCGGAUGGAUCCUUCUUUGUGCACAUGUGUGCAACCUCUCAGACUGGUUAACAGCCGCCUGUAUCCCAGGGACUUUGCUGGGGAUACAGGGAGGAAAAACAAGAGCAUCCCUGACCUCUAGGCAUUUGCUGUCUAUACGUAUUGCUGAUGAAGAUUUGUUGAUUGAUUAAAGGAUAGUGAAGAGACAGCAUGUGCACAGGUAAGAGGGAGUGAUGGAGGCAAAGGGGAGUUCCAGACAAGAUGCUUUAGGAAAAUC
rnacentral:lncRNA from 1 species